rnacentral:other from 1 species
GUUCUACUGCGAUGUUGGUGACUGCCAAUAACGUUUUAUGAUCUAUACCUUUUGCUCACGGGAACCCAAUUGUCUGAUGGCAGUAGACCGGGCUUGUACUCGGAAACUUUAAAUCAGGACUAUCAGGUACCCACCUGGUUUUUACCAGGUCAAAAACUGAGGUAAGACGGCAUUGCGGGGAACGU